GCAAAGAGAGAAAGUGAACAUAUUUCUCCUCACCGCACGCUGUCCACACCGGGCUGAGCCGUGCCUGUGAUGCACAAGCCAUUUGCGCUGAACUGAUGAGGGGAUAUCAGCGUCGGCCAGCAUGCCGGGGGGAUAUUACAGAUGACAACCUGAGAUGAGAGAGCAGACGUGUGAUGCGGACCUGCCGAGAAAGACAUGCUGGUCAAUUUGGUUUGAUUAAUAUGUUCUCCUCUCUUAGUGACUUUAUAGGGGCUUUUACCACUCUUUAUUGAGAAAGACAGUAGAGAGGGGACAGGACAUUACCAGAGAAAGAGGGUGAUCAGUACAACAAUAGUUGGACCUGGAAACCUACAUCUCCCUCGUGAGCACCAAGGCUCAGAGAGCAUGCACACCACUAAGGUGUUGGGGUCAUCUGAAGUGUACAUAAGAUGCUCUAUCCAAUCUGGACCUGGUGUAAUCUCUAGCCUUAUUUUUGGUGCCAUCUACUCUAACUAAAGUCUGAAGAACCCAUUAGUGCAAGGUUGGAAUGUUUCUCCUUAAAGGCCUCUUCAAACCUUCCUGAAAGCCACUCUUCCAGGUAAAAUCAUUACUGUUUUCAACUCUUGGACAGAUUUAUGCCUGUUUUGGAGAUUUUCCAUCUUUAUAAAAAAAAAAAAAAAAACAUCAACAGCUGAUAACAGCAGAUUUGUCAUUCUAUAAAACAGGUUCCUUUAUUAG
ensembl:lncRNA